GUGCUUGCUUCAGCAGCACAUAUACUAAAAUUGGAACAUACAGAGAUUAGCACGGCCCCUGCGCAAGGAUGACACGCAAAUUUGUGAAGCGUUCCAUAUUUAA
ensembl:snRNA U6 U6 spliceosomal RNA